rnacentral:rRNA from 1 species
UACAGGGGGUGCAAACGUUGCUCGGAAUCAUUGGGCGUAAAGCGCACGUAGGCGGUUCGUUAUGUCGGAUGUGAAAGCCCUUGGCUUAACCGAGGAAGUGCAUCCGAAACUGGCGAGCUAGAGUACUAAAGAGGAUCGCGGAAUUCCCGGUGUAGAGGUGAAAUUCGUAGAUAUUCGGAAGAACACCAGUGGCGAAGGCGACUUACUGGACACAUAUUGACGCUGAGGUGCGAAAGCGUGGGGAGCAAACAGG